rnacentral:rRNA from 1 species
CACGCAGUAAACGAUGAAUACUAGCUGUCUGCGAUAUACUGUAGGCGGCACAGCGAAAGCGUUAAGUAUUCCACCUGGGGAGUACGUUCGCAAGAAUGAAACUCAAAGGAAUUGACGGGGGCCCGCACAAGCGGAGGAACAUGUGGUUUAAUUCGAUGAUACGCGAGGAACCUUACCCGGGCUUGAAAUGCAGAAGACCGAAGCGGAAACGCUUCUUCCAGCAAUGGCUUCUGUGUAGGUGC